AUAUCUGGAGCGCUUAUUCACACGGACACGUUUUGUUUAUUUAUUGUGUUAUUUUUGAUACCUUUUUUCUAUUAUGUUGCCUCUUCAAAUCUGUGGACCAGCCGGCCAGUGGGCACAAGGGUUUGUCUGAUUGGGAUUACAUACAUGAACAUUGAGACAUUGUGCUUGCAUACCGGCUUUCUCGCAUCUGGAAUGUCGUUAAUUUAUUUUUAGAAAAUUGUAACUUCGAUUUAAACUGCUUUGUGCUCGUCGUGGUUUGUCUGUCACGUCCAUAUAACCGGUAGGCUAUGAGCACGAACUGCUCUCGAAUGGUUUAGGCAAUUGUGUUCGAGAGGAAUGUUGAUUAAUAUUUAUUUGACGCUUCGUUUCGGAAUUGUGCGGGCUAAUUGUCAAGUGACGCGCGAGCGCUGGUCUCUUGAUGAAUGCAGUGACAGAGGCAACAACUGACUGACCAAUUAAUCUUAUUUUGCGUACAACUCCGCUUUACCAAACAACAUUUGUAAAGCCACGCGAUCUGUAUAAACUGAUUUUACAUUCCGUGAAGUGUCACAUAUCCCUCACGUUGAAACUCGAUGACAGCAGCAUACUAAAAACAGCAGUUCGUACAAACACUUGUUGUUUAGGCCCACGGAUAUUCAAUAUAUGUUUAUAUGCGCGUUAACUGCGUUAAACUGUUUGCUCGUGAACGGUCUUUGCUAGUUUGUUUUUAUAAUAUAUUCUUCUUAAAGCGUCGAAACUUUUAAAAACUGAAAUUAAGCUGCAAAAACCGACAUAUUAGCAUCUCUAGUUAACCCCAGGCCUCCGUUUAUUAGCCUGUAGGGCACACAGUAGUUAACCUGUAGUAGUUUUAAUGCCUUUUUUUCCAGAGGUACCGCAAAAUAUUGGAGAAUAAAAAGAAUUUCUGAUAUUCAUCUGUCGUAACUCUCUUCAAAGUUUUACUCAUCUUUUUUUUUAAGUUACGAUGCAGAUGUGGACAUGUUUUAUUCUGUCAAAGUGGCCAUGCGGUGGUUUUGAAAAGCAUCUGUCAGAAAGCAUAAGGAGGAGGAGAUGACACGUCUGUUUGCUGCUUUGAGCAUAUUCUCUUCCUCUUUCAAGUUAACAUUUUUUUCUUAUUGUCAAGCGCGAACAGUCAGUGCAGGUCCAAACGCACGUCAGGCGUCGUGUUUUCCAGAAUACACUCGCAAAAUAAGUCUAGCAAGCUCCCCGAGUUUACUCAUUCGGUUAUAACAGUAGUUACUGCGAUAUCCCCUGAGACACAUCAACUCAUAAGAACACCUGAUAAAGAGAGAGAAGUUAAAGUAUUUUAGAUGACCCAUCAGAUUAACUGAAGACCAUAAUUUACCUCAAGUAUUCAGAGAUCAGCUAACGCUGGUUUAGCGAGCACAAUCCUCGAUGUUUGUGUGAGGGAUAAAACGUUAUUUUUUAGCACAUAUAUUAGUCUAUAUUUUUGCAUAUAUCGUCUCUGAUGCAUGUUUUGGUCUCCAGGAGAUUAAUUUUUGUAAGGUAAAGUGCUGAGUAACGAACAACAUGAACUUAAUAUGUGAGCAUUCCCUUGGGCAUUCUAUAAUCUCACUUUGUUUUUUGCCACUGAAAUUAAUUAUUAUUGUGUAAUAUGGGCUAUGCAACGUGAACUCUGGAAUGCAAGGAACUUUUCCGCUGGGUCGUAAAUAUUUGGUCUGCUAGUAGUUUUGGAUCUCAUUUGCUCUAGACGUUUUUGUUUUAAGGCCUGUUAAGUUUGUAGAUUUUAACAUGAUGUCCUUGCAUGCUUUUUGUUAUGAAGAUUGCUUGUAAAAUUGGUAAUGUGGAAAACUAUCGAAAUGAACAGCAUAGUGAGUGCUUUAUAUUAUUGAACCCACUUUGCAUAUUUUUGUACAAUCUGCUUAUAACCAUAUGCAUUGUUUGUUAUUUGCUAUUGUGUAUUGUAAAUGUGUGUAGAUGCAUAUUGACAGAUAAUAAAUAAAAUAGUUUUUACUACA
ensembl:lincRNA